ACUCCUACGGGAGGCAGCAGUGGGGAAUUUUGCGCAAUGGGGGAAACCCUGACGCAGCAACGCCGCGUGAGUGAUGAAGGCCCUUGGGUCGUAAAGCUCUGACAGAGGGAAAGAAGUGUAAAGUGGCUAAUAUCCACAUUACUUGACGGUACCCUCAAAGGAAGCACCGGCUAACUCCGUGCCAGCAGCCGCGGUAAUACGGGGGGUGCAAGCGUUGUUCGGAUUUAUUGGGCGUAAAGCGCGUGUAGGCGGUUUUAUAAGUCUGAUGUGAAAGCCCUGGGCUCAACCCGGGAAGUGCAUUGGAUACUGUAAGACUUGAAUACGGGAGAGGGCAGUGGAAUUCCUAGUGUAGGAGUGAAAUCCGUAGAUAUUAGGAGGAACACCGGUGGCGAAGGCGGCUGCCUGGACCGAUAUUGACGCUGAGACGCGAAAGCGUGGGUAGCAAACAGGAUUAGAUACCCUGGUAGUCCACGCCGUAAACGAUGAGAACUAGGUGUCGCGGGUA
rnacentral:rRNA from 1 species